UGUCCAGGGGGCCGCCUUCGCCACCGGUAUUCCUCCAGAUCUCUACGCAUUUCACCGCUACACCUGGAAUUCUACCCCCCUCUACAAGACUCUAGUCUGCCAGUUCGAAAUGCAGUUCCCAGGUUGAGCCCGGGGCUUUCACAUCUCGCUUAACAGACCGCCUGCGCACGCUUUACGCCCAGUAAUUCCGAUUAACGCUUGCACCCUCCGUAUUACCGCGGCUGCUGGCACGGAGUUAGCCGGUGCUUCUUCUGUGGGUAACGUCACAGCUGAUAGGUAUUAACCAUCAGCCUUUCCUCCCCACUGAAAGUGCUUUACAACCCGAAGGCCUUCUUCACACACGCGGCAUGGCUGGAUCAGGGUUUCCCCCAUUGUCCAAUAUUCCCCACUGCUGCCUCCCGUAGGAGUCUGGACCGUGUCUCAGUUCCAGUGUGGCUGUCCAUCCUCUCAGAACAGCUAGGGAUCGUCGCCUAGGUGAGCCUUUACCUCACCUACUAGCUAAUCCCACCUGGGCCUAUCCAUUCGCGAGAGGUCCGAAGAUCCCCCUCUUUCCCCCGUAGGGCGUAUGCGGUAUUAGCAGUCGUUUCCAACUGUUAUCCCCCUCGAAUGGGCAAGUUCCCAGGCAUUACUCACCCGUCCGCCGCUCGCCACCUCAGGAGUAAACUCCCUUGUGCUGCCGCUCGACUUGCAUGUGUUAGG
rnacentral:rRNA from 1 species